UGCGGGUUAAGUCCAUGACAAAGUUACACGUUAGUAGCCUGAUUGAUUCUGCUUUUCUCUAUUUUUGGUUGCGGGAGAAAAUGGGGAUUUCUGCAAAUUUCCGCCGACAAUAGUCCAUUGUUUUAUCUCAAUCAAAGUAGUCUCCGUACAAAUUAUAAGAAUCCAUGGGACAGCAUUUCGAAUUUUCUAUUCCUUUGUCCCCACAAUGUUGAAGCGAGCAGCUCAAAUGGGGUCAUAUAUUAUUGUCGCUUCUCGGUACUCAAGGUGAAAAUCUUCCCAACCCCUCAAUUAUCUGAUUUUAGGGUUUUGGUGCACUGUUAUAGACUUGCUUAUGCAGCUCAAGCAUCUAGUAACCUUAAUCAAUAAAAUAAAAUAAAAAUAAAAUUUCAUGGCCUGCUUUUGUUGAGCUUUUCCCCCUUUUUCCAGUUUCAAUGGCAUAACUAAUGAAGAGCUUCGCUGCAAGUCCUCACUCACUACCUUCAGUUUGGAUAAAGCAAAAAAUAGUCUAAAAUUAUCUUUUUAUACUAAGUUUGCACUUGUUACCAUCAGAAAAAAGUAAUAAUGUAAGUAUUGGUAAUCCUCACACACUAAUUUAAAAUUAUGGAUCCGUCUAUGAGUAUGGACCUUCAUCUAUGUGGUGUCGCCCUGAAUUAUCUGUUAUCGACUGCUUAAAUGAGAGGGGAGAGGCCGGCGUGCAAGCUGAUGCUUGUUUUCUUUUGUUCCCCUUGACAAUGGUUAAGAAAUAUCCAUAUUGACAUACCAGAAGGUGUUUGGUCACUGGAAAUGGUUGUACCAUGAGUUAGCUGUAGUUUACCUAGGUGAUAACAUGAUAUGUUGAUAGCAAUAAGUAAAUAGCCAAAAGAAUUUAGCAAGACACUGUAGAGUUGGGAUGCAAGUCAUUGUUGGAGAAACCAAAGACGAAUUCAGGAUUUAAAAACUUGAUUGGUUCAGUCUUUAAGGUUUUUAAGACUCAUAGUACUUCUAGGAUUAUGGGUUCAGUCUUAUAUUUGUUGAAUUUCUUAGUGUGCUUUCACAUAUAUAUUUACACCCCGUGUCAACAAUAUUGGAUUCGGAUGUAUCCGUUGCCAGAAGAGCUGCAUCUUCCACUGGGAGGAACAUAAAUCUGGAAUGAUCAAGAUUUCACUAGACUGAUCCAAGUCAAACACACAAAGUUUUAUGAAAAAUUACUGUUUUAUGAUCACAAUUCUCUUGAAAUUCUAAUAACCUCCUCUAUGUAUGUGUUACUUAUGUCUUCAUAUAAAAAAUGUAUGUGUAAUAUCCCCAACAAUUUUAUCUCUUUUUUGAAAUUCGGAAAUAGUAAGAGUAAGUUAUUUAUCUUAUUAUUUUUUUUGAUAAGGUAAUAACUUUUAUUAAGAAAGGGCAGAAGAGCCCGUAUACAAGAGGUAUACCCAAAAAGUAGAAAACCUUACAAUAAGACAUGGUUUUCUACGAAUGACACCCAAUCUUCCGUUCAAAUAGGAACAUCAUGGGUGCACCAAAAAUAAAUAAGGGAAAAGAGGCUACUCCUCAAGAGGACAAGAUCUUUUUCGACAGCGUCAAAAGCUCUCUUAUUAUGUUAUUAUAUUAAUCAAGGAUUUCUUAUAUAGCUAGAAUGACCCUCACAAAUUGCGAAUACUAAUUUGUUAAGAAUUAAUCGGAUUGAGGAUAUGGCGUCAUCAUUCGCUGGAAUUGAAAUAUCUGCGAGAUCGGGGUCACAAUUUGUAUCGGUUAAACAAAUUGUUGGAAUUCCUAAAGUAAUAGACUAUACUUGUGCCUUCUUGUUAGAUGUGAUGAUUUUUAAUCUUGUUUAAUUGUAUGACUAUACCAUUUGAACAUCAGUGGUAUAACACUCAUAUGAUGCAUAUCUGGGGCCUUAAAGGAUUAAACUUUACUUCAAUAUAACAUUAUAAUAAAAGUCAAACUGUAAAAAGCAGUGAGACAUAUUUAGGAGAAGCAAUAAAAAAACAAAGUUCUAAAUGGAUGAGAAAGAAAAAAGGGAGAAGAGCUAAGUACUAUUUGAAUAUUCUUGUGUCUUUAGCUGCAGCUUUAGUGAUUGAAGUUUUCAUUUUUCGAUACAGGAAUGCACUUCAUAAUCCAACCAAUAGGCCAUGAAAGUGAAGAAAUACCCAUGCAUACGGCCCAUUGCCUCCAAUUCAGCCUUUCAGUAUCAGCAAACUUCCGCAGGAAUUCAACCAUAAUUACCUGGAGAAGUAUUGUCAUUCCCACUAUCACAAUAAACAGUCUGUUCUUCAGUAUUCCAUGGAAUAUGUUUUUCUUCUCCAACUUCCUGGCAUUGAACUCAUUGAAGAUUUGACAGAAGACGAAAGUGUUGAAGAUCAAGGUGUCUUUUACAUUCUUAUUCACAUGAAAGAUGGAACUUCCUUUGAACUGCAGGAUCAAUAGCACUGUUACCUGGUAUAAGGCCUGAGCAAUGAUAUUCCUCCACAUCACAGCAGUUAUCAAAGGUUCAG
rnacentral:lncRNA from 1 species